AUUGCACUUUGUAGAUUCAUAGUGGACUAUUUUGUGUCCUUGAAUCUGAAAUUUGUUCUCAGUGUUCAUCUUGUUAUCAUUGUGUUGCUGCUGUUUUUAGUGUUAAAUGCACCGUUGUUAUCUCGUAUUGUUGUUGUAGUAGUGAAUCCGAGAGUGGUCUCCAUCUUAGUCUUCAAAUCCUUAAGAUUAGUGGACUGUUUUGGAGUUGUUUCGUAUUUCCGU
rnacentral:lncRNA from 1 species